rnacentral:rRNA from 1 species
UACGUAGGGUGCGAGCGUUAAUCGGAAUUACUGGGCGUAAAGCGUGCGUAGGCGGUUUUUUAAGCCCGAUGUGAAAGCCCCGGGCUUAACCUGGGAAUGGCAUUUGGGACUGCAAGGCUCGAGUGCGGCAGAGGAGACUGGAAUUCCCGGUGUAGCAGUGAAAUGCGUAGAUAUCGGGAGGAAGACCGAUGGCGAAGGCAGGUCUCUGGGCUGACACUGACGCUCAUGCACGAAAGCGUGGGGAGCAAACAGG